GUUGUAUGGUUAAGUGACUAAGCGUACACGGUGGAUGCCUUGGCAGUCAGAGGCGAUGAAAGACGUAGUAACUUGCGAUAAGCCCAGAUUAGGUAGUAACAACCAUUUGAGUCUGGGAUUUCUGAAUGGGGAAACCCACGUGCAUAAGCACGUAUCCUUACCUGAAUACAUAGGGUAAGGAGGCGAACCGGGGGAACUGAAACAUCUAAGUACCCCGAGGAAAAGAAAUCAACCGAGAUUCCGAAAGUAGCGGCGAGCGAAAUUGGACUAGCCCUUAAGCUUUACACGCGUUAGACGAACGGUCUGGAAAGUCCGACGAUACAGGGUGAUAGUCCCGUAGUUGACGACGUGUGUUCAGUGAAAUCGAGUAGGGCGGGACACGUGAUAUCCUGUCUGAAUAUGGGGGGACCAUCCUCCAAGGCUAAAUACUACUGACUGACCGAUAGUGAACCAGUACCGUGAGGGAAAGGCGAAAAGAACCCCUGUGAGGGGAGUGAAAUAGAACCUGAAACCGUGUACGUACAAGCAGUAGGAGCAGGCUUUGUCCUGUGACUGCGUACCUUUUGUAUAAUGGGUCAGCGACUUAUAUUCAGUGGCAAGGUUAACCAUCUAGGGGAGCCGUAGGGAAACCGAGUCUUAACUGGGCGUUCAGUCUCUGGAUAUAGACCCGAAACCAGGUGAUCUAGCCAUGGGCAGGUUGAAGGUUGAGUAACAUCAACUGGAGGACCGAACCGACUAAUGUUGAAAAAUUAGCGGAUGACUUGUGGCUAGGGGUGAAAGGCCAAUCAAACCUGGAGAUAGCUGGUUCUCCCCGAAAGCUAUUUAGGUAGCGCCUCGGACGAAUACUACUGGGGGUAGAGCACUGUUAAGGCUACAGACCGCCAGCUAAGGUCCCAAAUUACUACUAAGUGGGAAACGAUGUGGGAAGGCUCAGACAGCCAGGAUGUUGGCUUAGAAGCAGCCAUCAUUUAAAGAAAGCGUAAUAGCUCACUGGUCGAGUCGGCCUGCGCGGAAGAUGUAACGGGGCUAAGUAGUAAACCGAAGCUGCGGCAAUAUACUUUUGUAUAUUGGGUAGGGGAGCGUUCUGUAAGCGGUUGAAGGUGUGUGGUAACGCAUGCUGGACGUAUCAGAAGUGCGAAUGCUGACAUGAGUAACGAUAAAGGGGGUGAAAAACCUCCUCGCCGGAAGACCAAGGGUUCCUGUCCAACGUUAAUCGGGGCAGGGUAAGUCGACCCCUAAGGCGAGGCCGAAAGGCGUAGUCGAUGGGAAACGGGUUAAUAUUCCCGUACUUCUUACAAUUGCGAUGGGGGGACGGAGAAGGCUAGGUGGGCCUGGCGACGGUUGUCCAGGUUCAAGUGCGUAGGCUUAAGAGUUAGGUAAAUCCGGCUCUUUCUAAGGCUGAGACACGACGUCGAGCAUCUACGGAUGUGAAGUCAUUGAUGCCAUGCUUCCAGGAAAAGCCUCUAAGCUUCAGAUUGUAAGGAAUCGUACCCCAAACCGACACAGGUGGUCGGGUAGAGAAUACCAAGGCGCUUGAGAGAACUCGGGUGAAGGAACUAGGCAAAAUGGUACCGUAACUUCGGGAGAAGGUACGCUCUUGAUGGUGAAGUCCCUCGCGGAUGGAGCUGACGAGAGUCGCAGAUACCAGGUGGCUGCAACUGUUUAUUAAAAACACAGCACUGUGCAAAAUCGUAAGAUGACGUAUACGGUGUGACGCCUGCCCGGUGCCGGAAGGUUAAUUGAUGGGGUUAGACUUCGGUCGAAGCUCUUGAUCGAAGCCCCGGUAAACGGCGGCCGUAACUAUAACGGUCCUAAGGUAGCGAAAUUCCUUGUCGGGUAAGUUCCGACCUGCACGAAUGGCGUAAUGAUGGCCACGCUGUCUCCACCCGAGACUCAGUGAAAUUGAAAUCGCUGUGAAGAUGCAGUGUACCCGCGGCUAGACGGAAAGACCCCGUGAACCUUUACUACAGCUUGGCACUGAACAUUGACCCUACAUGUGUAGGAUAGGUGGGAGGCUUUGAAGCACGUACGCCAGUAUGUGUGGAGCCGUCCUUGAAAUACCACCCUUGUAGUGUUGAUGUUCUAACGUCGACCCCUUAUCGGGGUUGCGGACAGUGCCUGGUGGGUAGUUUGACUGGGGCGGUCUCCUCCCAAAGAGUAACGGAGGAGCACGAAGGUGGGCUAAUCACGGUUGGACAUCGUGAGGUUAGUGCAAUGGCAUAAGCCCGCUUGACUGCGAGAAUGACAAUUCGAGCAGGUGCGAAAGCAGGUCAUAGUGAUCCGGUGGUUCUGAAUGGAAGGGCCAUCGCUCAACGGAUAAAAGGUACUCCGGGGAUAACAGGCUGAUACCGCCCAAGAGUUCAUAUCGACGGCGGUGUUUGGCACCUCGAUGUCGGCUCAUCACAUCCUGGGGCUGAAGUCGGUCCCAAGGGUAUGGCUGUUCGCCAUUUAAAGUGGUACGCGAGCUGGGUUUAGAACGUCGUGAGACAGUUCGGUCCCUAUCUGCCGUGGGCGUUGGAAGAUUGAAGGGGGCUGCUCCUAGUACGAGAGGACCGGAGUGGACGAACCUCUGGUGUUCGGGUUGUGUCGCCAGACGCAUUGCCCGGUAGCUAAGUUCGGAAUCGAUAACCGCUGAAAGCAUCUAAGCGGGAAGCGAGCCCUGAGAUGAGUCUUCCCUGAUACUUUAAGUAUCCUAAAGGGUUGUCGGAGACUACGACGUUGAUAGGUCAGGUGUGUAAGUGCUGUGAGGCAUUGAGCUAACUGAUACUAAUUGCCCGUGAGGCUUAACCAUACAACACCCAAGGGGUUU
rnacentral:rRNA from 1 species